GGGUUGUGAGGUUAAGCGACUAAGCGUACACGGUGGAUGCCCUGGCAGUCAGAGGCGAUGAAGGGCGUGCUAAUCUGCGAUAAGCGCCGGUAAGGUGAUAUGAACCGUUAUAACCGGCGAUACCCGAAUGGGGAAACCCAGUGUGAUUCGUCACACUAUCAUUAACUGAAUCCAUAGGUUAAUGAGGCGAACCGGGGGAACUGAAACAUCUAAGUACCCCGAGGAAAAGAAAUCAACCGAGAUUCCCCCAGUAGCGGCGAGCGAACGGGGAGGAGCCCAGAGCCUGAAUCAGCAUGUGUGUUAGUGGAAGCGUCUGGAAAGACGCGCGAUACAGGGUGACAGCCCCGUACACAAAAGCGUAUGUGCUGUGAGCUCGAUGAGUAGGGCGGGACACGUGGUAUCCUGUCUGAAUAUGGGGGGACCAUCCUCCAAGGCUAAAUACUCCUGACUGACCGAUAGUGAACCAGUACCGUGAGGGAAAGGCGAAAAGAACCCCGGCGAGGGGAGUGAAAAAGAACCUGAAACCGUGUACGUACAAGCAGUGGGAGCACAGGUUUACCUGUGUGACUGCGUACCUUUUGUAUAAUGGGUCAGCGACUUAUAUUCUGUAGCAAGGUUAACCGAAUAGGGGAGCCGGAGGGAAACCGAGUCUUAAUUGGGCGUUAAGUUGCAGGGUAUAGACCCGAAACCCGGUGAUCUAGCCAUGGGCAGGUUGAAGGUUGGGUAACACUAACUGGAGGACCGAACCGACUAAUGUUGAAAAAUUAGCGGAUGACCUGUGGCUGGGGGUGAAAGGCCAAUCAAACCGGGAGAUAGCUGGUUCUCCCCGAAAGCUAUUUAGGUAGCGCCUCGUGAAUUCAUCUCCGGGGGUAGAGCACUGUUUCGGCUAGGGGGUCAUCCCGACUUACCAACCCGAUGCAAACUGCGAAUACCGGAGAAUGUUAUCACGGGAGACACACGGCGGGUGCUAACGUCCGUCGUGAAGAGGGAAACAACCCAGACCGCCAGCUAAGGUCCCAAAGUCAUGGUUAAGUGGGAAACGAUGUGGGAAGGCCCAGACAGCCAGGAUGUUGGCUUAGAAGCAGCCAUCAUUUAAAGAAAGCGUAAUAGCUCACUGGUCGAGUCGGCCUGCGCGGAAGAUGUAACGGGGCUAAACCAUGCACCGAAGCUGCGGCAGCGACACUGUGUGUUGUUGGGUAGGGGAGCGUUCUGUAAGCCUGUGAAGGUGGCCUGUGAGGGUUGCUGGAGGUAUCAGAAGUGCGAAUGCUGACAUAAGUAACGAUAAAGCGGGUGAAAAGCCCGCUCGCCGGAAGACCAAGGGUUCCUGUCCAACGUUAAUCGGGGCAGGGUGAGUCGACCCCUAAGGCGAGGCCGAAAGGCGUAGUCGAUGGGAAACGGGUUAAUAUUCCCGUACUUGGUGUUACUGCGAAGGGGGGACGGAGAAGGCUAUGUUGGCCGGGCGACGGUUGUCCCGGUUUAAGCGUGUAGGUGUGUGUUCCAGGUAAAUCCGGUUCACUUUAACACUGAGGCGUGAUGACGAGGCACUACGGUGCUGAAGCAACAAAUGCCCUGCUUCCAGGAAAAGCCUCUAAGCAUCAGGUAACAUCAAAUCGUACCCCAAACCGACACAGGUGGUCAGGUAGAGAAUACCAAGGCGCUUGAGAGAACUCGGGUGAAGGAACUAGGCAAAAUGGUGCCGUAACUUCGGGAGAAGGCACGCUGACACGUAGGUGAAGUGAUUUACUCAUGGAGCUGAAGUCAGUCGAAGAUACCAGCUGGCUGCAACUGUUUAUUAAAAACACAGCACUGUGCAAACACGAAAGUGGACGUAUACGGUGUGACGCCUGCCCGGUGCCGGAAGGUUAAUUGAUGGGGUCAGCGCAAGCGAAGCUCCUGAUCGAAGCCCCGGUAAACGGCGGCCGUAACUAUAACGGUCCUAAGGUAGCGAAAUUCCUUGUCGGGUAAGUUCCGACCUGCACGAAUGGCGUAAUGAUGGCCAGGCUGUCUCCACCCGAGACUCAGUGAAAUUGAACUCGCUGUGAAGAUGCAGUGUACCCGCGGCAAGACGGAAAGACCCCGUGAACCUUUACUAUAGCUUGACACUGAACAUUGAGCCUUGAUGUGUAGGAUAGGUGGGAGGCUUUGAAGUGUGGACGCCAGUCUGCAUGGAGCCGACCUUGAAAUACCACCCUUUAAUGUUUGAUGUUCUAACGUGGACCCGUAAUCCGGGUUGCGGACAGUGUCUGGUGGGUAGUUUGACUGGGGCGGUCUCCUCCUAAAGAGUAACGGAGGAGCACGAAGGUUGGCUAAUCCUGGUCGGACAUCAGGAGGUUAGUGCAAUGGCAUAAGCCAGCUUGACUGCGAGCGUGACGGCGCGAGCAGGUGCGAAAGCAGGUCAUAGUGAUCCGGUGGUUCUGAAUGGAAGGGCCAUCGCUCAACGGAUAAAAGGUACUCCGGGGAUAACAGGCUGAUACCGCCCAAGAGUUCAUAUCGACGGCGGUGUUUGGCACCUCGAUGUCGGCUCAUCACAUCCUGGGGCUGAAGUAGGUCCCAAGGGUAUGGCUGUUCGCCAUUUAAAGUGGUACGCGAGCUGGGUUUAGAACGUCGUGAGACAGUUCGGUCCCUAUCUGCCGUGGGCGCUGGAGAACUGAGGGGGGCUGCUCCUAGUACGAGAGGACCGGAGUGGACGCAUCACUGGUGUUCGGGUUGUCAUGCCAAUGGCACUGCCCGGUAGCUAAAUGCGGAAGAGAUAAGUGCUGAAAGCAUCUAAGCACGAAACUUGCCCCGAGAUGAGUUCUCCCUGAGACUUAGAGUCUCCUGAAGGAACGUUGAAGACGACGACGUUGAUAGGCCGGGUGUGUAAGCGCAGCGAUGCGUUGAGCUAACCGGUACUAAUGAACCGUGAGGCUUAACCUUACAACGCCGAAG
rnacentral:rRNA from 1 species